GGUUUAGAACGUCGUGAGACAGUUCGGUCCCUAUCUGCCAUGGGCGUAGGAAGUUUGAGAAGAUCUGUCCUUAGUACGAGAGGACCGGGAUGGACGUAUCACUGGUGUUCCGGUUGUCGCGCCAGCGGCACCGCCGGGUAGCCACAUGCGGAAAGGAUAACCGCUGAAAGCAUCUAAGCGGGAAACCCACCUCAAGAUUAGACUUCCCAGACGUAAGUCCUAAAGUCCCCUUGAAGACUACGAGGUUGAUAGGCCAGAUGUGGAGGCAUGGCAACAUGUGAAGCUAACUGGUACUAAUUGGACGUGAGGCUUU
rnacentral:rRNA from 14 species